UUUUGCGGGAAGAGGAGCCGCUGUACCUGCAGUGCUGCUUUUCUUGCCUAGACUCUAGGAACUAUCCGAGCUCCACUCCCCACAACAUACUCAAAGGAACGGAGAGAACCAGGACCCCCCUGCGGGGACCCGGAACUGAUCUGACAGGAUGGCAUCUGAUGACUUUGACAUAGUGAUUGAGGCCAUGCUGGAAGCUCCCUAUAAAAAAGAAGAGGAUGAGCAACAAAGGAAAGAAGUUAAAAAGGAUUAUCCUAGCAAUACCACCAGCAGCACCAGCAACAGUGGCAAUGAGACCAGUGGAAGCAGCACCAUCGGGGAGACAAGCAAGAAGAAGAGGAGUCGGAGCCAUAGUAAAAGCAGGGAUAGAAAGCGCAGUCGUAGUCGAGAUCGGGAUCGGUAUAGACGGAGAAAUAGUCGGAGCCGAAGUCGAGGUCGGCAGCGUCGUCACCGUAGCCGUAGCUGGGAUCGUCGACAUAGUAGUGAGUCGCGAAGUCGGGACCAUCGUCGUGAGGAUCGUGUGCAUUACAGGAGUCCUCCACUUGCCACUGGUUAUAGGUAUGGACACAGUAAGAGUCCUCAUUUCAGAGAGAAGAGCCCAGUCAGGGAGCCAAUUGAUAAUCUGAGUCCUGAGGAGCGUGAUGCCCGCACAGUUUUCUGUAUGCAGUUAGCUGCCCGAAUUCGGCCUCGAGAUCUGGAGGACUUUUUCUCUGCUGUAGGCAAGGUUCGCGAUGUACGUAUCAUCUCAGAUCGGAACUCACGUCGUUCUAAGGGCAUUGCCUACGUGGAAUUCUGUGAAAUCCAGUCUGUGCCACUGGCCAUUGGGCUGACUGGGCAGCGGUUGCUGGGAGUGCCUAUCAUUGUACAGGCUUCACAGGCAGAGAAAAACCGACUGGCAGCCAUGGCCAACAACCUGCAAAAGGGCAAUGGUGGACCAAUGCGCCUCUAUGUGGGUUCCCUGCACUUCAAUAUCACUGAAGACAUGCUCCGGGGCAUCUUUGAGCCCUUUGGUAAAAUUGAUAAUAUUGUCCUGAUGAAGGACUCGGAUACAGGCCACUCUAAAGGUUAUGGUUUCAUCACGGUGAGUCUCUAGUCUUUUAAUUUUUUUAUUUUACUUUGGGUUUGUCCACUUGUCUGAUUUUGCAGCUUAGCUUCAUCCUCCUCCUUUAGGAACUGUCUAAAUGACCCAUAAACCCUGGUGCCUGAAGCUUGGACUAGCCUUCUACCCCUUGAGAUGAGUGCAUUGCUUGAGAUCUUGGCUUUGCUCCUACACUCUGUCAGUGGCCCUGGUAUGGGGGUGUUCAGGAGUUCAACCAGCUUCCCUGGUGCUGCAACUUGGCUCUUUGGGUAAUAGUAACCAGGCUGCAGCUAAAAGGUUGGGGGUGUGAGGGAGGUUAGGUAUGGACUUUUAAAGACAUGCUUUAUAGAAUUGAUGUUUCUCAUAACAGGGAUGGGAAUAGGAAAUUAUACUUCCCUCUGGUGCUACCCCAUUUGAAGCAAUUUCUGCACCGAGAAGGAUCAGUUAUUAACGUAGCACUAUGGGGAGAAUAGUGAGGCCACCUAAUUAUGGGCAAGCUUCACCUUUUCCUGACAUUCCAACAAAAUGGUUGCCAAUUCCUAUAACUGGUUCUUCCAGCCCCAUGUGACUCCAGGCUGAGAACUGGCUGCCAGCCACAAAGUCUGAUAGAAGCUUGUAUUUUCUGGGCUUAAACCAGGCAGCAUACACUCCCACAGUUACCCACAGGGCAGAGGGCAGUAGGUUGUAUUCUGUCAUUGGAAUUGCUCACCUCAAAAAUAUCCAGUAAAGGCAAGCCAUGUAUAACACCUGCCUAGGAACUGUCAGUACCACAUGCCAGGCCCUAAGGCAGGUAAUGCUGCUAGCUAGCUAAACAAGCUAGCUGUGGUGUUGACAAUUCUGUGGUGGCAAGUAACUUUUGUAACCUUUUCUCGCUCUCUGUGUGACUGAGAUAUGGAAAGGCUUCUGUGGGGCAUUUUUGCCCUUGCAUUGUUGCCUUUUGGGUCAACAACCUUGACACUUAAACAAACAGCAGACUGGGAAUCCUCUUUGUACCAGUGUGUUGCUGGGUGCUGCUGAUAAAAGGGACUAGAGAGUAAAGGCCUUCUGGUCAGCAGGUCACUUAGUCAACAGCUCUCGUGUGUAUGUGGGGGUGUGCGUUCUGCCUUGCUGUCAGCACUAGGGUGUGUUCCCUCUUAAGCCUGGAAUUAGGAGUUCCAGAUUCCUAGUACUUAACUAAAAUUUGGCCAGGCGCGGUGGCUCACGCCUGUAAUCCCAGCAGUUUGGGAGGCCAAGGUGGGUGAAUCGCCUGAGGUCAGGAGUUCGAGACCAGCCUGACCAAUGUGGUGAAACCCCAUCUCUACUAAAAAAUAAAAAUAAAAAAACUAGCUGGGCAUGGUGGUGGGUGCCUGUAAUUCCAGCUACUCGGGAGGCUGAGGCAGGAGAAUUGCUUGAACCCAGGAGACGGAGGUUGCAGUGAGCUGACAUGGUGCCACUGCACUCUAGCCUCAGUGACAGAGUGGGACUCCGUCUCAAAAAAAAAAAAAAAAAAAAAAUGACUAAAACUUACUAGGAUAGAGAACUGAAUUAAAAGCCCAGGAGCCUUGUUCUUAGCUUGUCUUCCAUUUGAUGUACCCAUUUGUGAAAUAACUUGUCAGGCUAGGUUUCCUACAAUAAUAAAAUUUUGCAUUGUUAGAUUCUUAAUGGAGCUGAAAGAUUGAAAAGUGACUGCCAUUGAGUCCGUUGGAAAAGGUCCUUUUCAGAGAACCAUUUUGAGGUGAUGGGCCUAGGUCAUAUUUUCUGGGAAAGAAAAGUUUGUACCUCAGUGAGCAUACAAUUUUCCUGGGAUAGUAGGACUAGGGAGUGUUACUGGGUCUUUGAGAGCAUGUCUUUGGUGAGUAGGUGACUAACAUGGCCUGGGUUUCUCAUAGUUCUCUGAUUCUGAGUGUGCCCGGCGGGCCCUGGAACAGUUGAAUGGGUUUGAGCUUGCUGGUCGACCUAUGAGGGUUGGCCAUGUGACUGAGCGACUGGAUGGUGGCACAGACAUCACUUUUCCUGAUGGGGACCAGGAGCUGGAUCUGGGAUCAGCAGGUGGACGUUUUCAGCUCAUGGCAAAACUGGCAGAAGGCGCUGGAAUCCAACUGCCAAGCACUGCUACUGCUGCUGCUGCUGCUGCUGCCGCCGCCGCCCAAGCUGCUGCCUUGCAACUGAAUGGAGCAGUUCCCUUGGGGGCCCUGAAUCCAGCAGCUCUGACUGCUCUGAGUCCAGCCCUGAACCUUGCCUCCCAGUGUUUCCAGCUCUCCAGCCUCUUUACCCCCCAGACCAUGUGAGUCUCAGGGUCUAGCUCAUUCUAGCCUUUGAUUAUUCUCUUUCCUUUGGCUUCCCAUUUACCUCUUCUUUCCACAGGUAAAUCAGUGGCACAGUAUACUGCCUCCUUGUGCCUCUGGAUCCUGCCACUUCACAUCUACUCUUCCAUGGCCCCAUUUCUCCAUUUUGUGGACCAAGCCAUCCUGAGGGCAUGGACAUUGUCUCUGAGGAAAUUGGGGCCACCCUUAAGAUACCAAGAAGAGCUCCUGCCCAUGGUCCCACUGGAAAUGGACUCUGCUGAGCAAAGCCGCCAGUUGAAGAGAACAGAAUCCACACCUGCAUUGAAUACCUGUUUCUCCAUGCGUAUCGUCUCUGAGAUUACCUUCUUGCCCUUUCCAACACCUUAGUGAUUCCUCAAUUCCUCCCCCAUUGGGAAGGCCAUAGGGCAUUAACUGAAGGAACUGACCUCUCUCCUUUUCCUGUACCUUUAACCUUUAGUCUGUCAAGGAAAACCCUUAGGACCUCUGAAUCAAGAGGACUGAGUUUGUGGGUGAACCUUGAAGGUGCUCUUUCUGCUACAAGGGCCCUGGGAGAUAGCAUGGACGUGCAUUGAGAAGCCAGCCUCAGACCUUAGCUUGAAGCAGCUUGAGGCCAGACCUACUGUAGGCUCAGCAUCUUGCUAGGAGGCAUGGAAGUGAUCUAUCCUGCCAGGAGGCCUCAGAGUGAUCUGUCCUGCCAGGAGGCGUGAGAGUGAUCUGUCCUGUGAGGCAUUUAGGGGCUUUCAGGAAUUUAGUAAAAGGUGGAGUAUGCCUUUCCAGUAUCUUCCAUCUUCCUUUGUAUACUUGUCCUUCCUCCCAUUUCCUCCCUUUGGCCCGAGGCAGGAGGAUGGAGGGAGGCUGCUACUCUACCACUUCUGUGUGCCUCUACUGUGGCCUCAACCCUGGCAAUUAAAGCUACUCCCAUCCCUUACCUGGGCAUGUGUGAGCCCUUCUCACUGGAUUUUAUACCCUUGUGUCUGUGUACAUAAAUAUAUAUACAUAUAUAUAUAUAUAUAAAAACUUUGUACAAAA
rnacentral:sRNA from 1 species